CCUACGGGAGGCAGCAGUGGGGAAUAUUGGACAAUGGGCGCAAGCCUGAUCCAGCCAUACCGCGUGUGUGAAGAAGGCCCUAGGGUUGUAAAGCACUUUAAGUUGGGAAGAAAAGUUAUUGGUUAAUACCCAAUAGCCGUGACAUUACCAUCAGAAUAAGGACCGGCUAAUUCCGUGCCAGCAGCCGCGGUAAUACGGAAGGUCCAAGCGUUAAUCGGAAUUACUGGGCGUAAAGCGCGCGUAGGUGGUUUAUUAAGUUGGAUGUGAAAUCCCCGGGCUCAACCUGGGAACUGCAUCCAAAACUGAUUCACUAGAGUACGAUAGAGGGAGGUAGAAUUCACAGUGUAGCGGUGGAAUGCGUAGAUAUUGUGAAGAAUACCAAUGGCGAAGGCAGCCUCCUGGAUCUGUACUGACACUGAGGUGCGAAAGCGUGGGUAGCG
rnacentral:rRNA from 1 species